UCUAAAGUGGCAGAAAAGUGCAUUAGGUUUAAGCCCUAAACAUGGACCUAAAUCCCUUUAGAA
rnacentral:tRNA from 1 species